rnacentral:lncRNA from 1 species
AUAAAUUAAAAUUCCAAAUGGCCUAAGGAAACCUCUUGGCCGUGAGUCAUGUUUCAACAAGUCAAACUUCAAUUUCCACCUUCAAUAAGCCACCAAAAUGUGUUGACUUCUUGUCCUAUGUGCACCAUUCUUCAAGGAAAUAAGCAUGUACCUUAAACACACAAUAAAACCAUGUUUUCCUCCCUUCCCAUGCAGCAAAAACAUGAUUCUACACACCAAAGCACAAAAAAACGUGAACUAUAAGG